CCGUGUUCCGGCACUGGGCCAUCCGGGUGGUGAAGUUGGAGGCGGAUGUAAAUUACUACCUGGUUCAGGGCAGUGAUGAAGGCGUCUUCAGACAGCAAGACAUUAGGCCUGUAUCUUCUCCUAUGGCUGACAGAAAAUUUGUGGUGCGUGGUACUGCAUUCCUAAUCGUGAUCUAGCACUUCUGGAAACUGCUGGAGAACUUCCAGAAAGAUGUUGAUCCUGUCCCACUACUUGGAAGAAGUAGGAAAAAACUAAUAACAGGAAAGGCAAGAAAGCCCCAGCUACCCACAGAAGACUGCUACCUUGAAAUAGACAAACUUGAUCUGACACCAGCAAAUAGGAACAGAUCCUUCAGAAAAAGGUUUGAGGCCUCUUUCAAGGGGAUGUCUACUGGAGAAGCAUGGGGCUCUUGUCCCAUGUACCAGGAAGAAGAUCACAGUAACAAUAAGGUCUAUGUGGGAGGUCCUUCACAAUAUGCCUUGAUUAAAGAAAGGUGGAUAUGUGUUUAAUCCUAAUUUUACUGUCUGAAAGAAGAAAUAAAAUGCUUAAGGAAAA